UCGCACGUCUCGCAACAAGUGGGCCGGCUGUCCUAUGGGGACGCUACUCCCGUAGCCAAAUUGAAGUGCGCUGGUUGAUUGGGCCAUCCGGCUGAUUCGGCCUCACCAGAAAGAAGCCCAUCUCAGUGAACAAAUAAACAUGACGUCUCUCUCUCUCUCUCGAUCGGGAACCCUGGUCAGUCGACCCCAUCACCGUAGCCGCCGCCUCCCAUGCCAUAGUCACCUCCCGUCCGUCAUCCCCAGUCCUCUUCGCGCGGUGGGAUUGAGCCCACGGUGUGCUGCUGCGCCGCCGCCGUGCGUCGCCAUCUUCACAUCGCCGCACCUUUUCCUUCCAAAUUCGUUUCCUCGGGUGACCCAUGCGUCCCCUAGGUGAGAUGCCGAUGCCGAUGCCGCUGCGACUUCCCUUCCGUCUGGAUCGCAGUCCCUUUGAGCGCCUUCAUCCGUCCCCUCGAAUCUCGCAAGGCGGUCGUUCCGGCGCCUGCGGAUGUCCCCGUUCUUUGGCGCAAAUUUGGGUUGAUGUGUGUGUUCCUAUGACGGCAGCUUGUUUGGGCUACGAUUUUCAGGGGCAAUCCAUCGCGUCCCGAUGAUGCGGCGAGGCGUAUGUGGGUGUUAGUCCCAGCCUCCCAGGUUUUGAUCGGUUUUGGUGAGGGAAAUUUGUCUAAGGAGAUUUGGAUAUGAUUUAGGUAUAAGGACUGUUCGGGGACAUCGGUUGCUGAAUCUCAACUCUCAAGUCGUAGUUCCUGUUGUCAGAUUUGCAGCUGGAGAGGACACACGGCUCUGACCUUGUGCAAAACAUUCUUGAUGGCUAUGGAAAAGUAGAAAGGAAAACCACUUUUCUGCAGGAUUUUAAAUAUUUUUUUAUCCUGAAUCUGGGGUUUUCAUGUUUUAAGCAGCAAUUUAUGUUUGAUUGCUCGCUGGUAGAUUGUGGGAUUUCAUGUGAGAUUCAUAGUAUAAAAAUGUGCUGGUACAGAUACAAUGUGCAGCAAUUUAUGUUUGUACUAACCAAUGAUGUUGUGGAUUUUGUUUGGCAUGUAAGUAUGUGUUAGGAAGUGUAUGGGGAGAAAGGAUGCCAGAGUUGCGUAGUGGAGUCCGACAAUCUCGGUUGAAGUCAAGGAAAGUAGCAGUGACUACCACGACUAGACAUCACGUCCAGCGGCGAUCUGCAAGAACCAGCAUCCCUGUGUGUGCUACUGUCCAAGACAGCGUCACCCUUUUACACUAUGUCCACUCCGGUCGUUCCUCCACUACAGGUACAACUCGUCUCUCCCUUAUGCAACAUGACUAGGCUGGAGUUAGGUGUCAUGGCUUCAGAUCAACAAGACAUGGCUUAGCUCUAACAUGAUACAAUGAGCCGACACAGACUGUAGAUACACUCCAAAAAUAUCAAAAUGUUGAAUCGUAUUAUAUUCAUAGUACAUGUAAUUCUAUACAUUGUAUUGUACGUCUGUGAAGUUUAUUGAAAAAUUGGAGAAGAAAGAAAAUAAAGCGCUUUUUGUUUAGCUUAACAGAGAAAGACUGAAAGACAUUUCAUUUCUUUCACAAGAAUGGAUGUCUAAGUGUCUUGUGCAUCGGAUUCCAAGGAGAAAUCACAUCCUGAAAAUGUUAAGAAUCAAUUGUCUAACCAGGUUAACUAACCAGCAUUUCUCUUUUUAUUCUAUGUAUUCAUUACUCAUUUUUAGUCACUCUCUUCAUCUCCUGAAGUUAUUAUAGGAACAAAUAUCUUUUUGAUAUCUUGUGCCAAAACCAUAUUUGAAGUUGGCAUGCACACCAAGGAUGAUUAUAUGCCUCUUUAAGUCAUCCACAGUCACAUUCUUGAUUCUUGUCUUGGCUCUAACUUGGGUAAAGACUGGAAUAUCAUCUUUGAAAAUGAUGUUAGUCAGAACGAGAAUAACUCUGUACACAUGGUGGCAGCUGCGCACGGCCCCAAUUUUAUCUCUAAUUAUUUUGGUAAAUUAUUUUGGACCCUGGGAAUAACUCUCAAACGAAAAUGAAGUUUGCUCACCUUGCUGGGACAAUGGGAGGUUUGCUCACCUUGCAAAAGUAAAGGCAUUGAAGAAAUUUGUAAGAUUAUAUAUUCAUCUUCAAGCAUGGAGGAAGGCUUGGCAUGAAGGAUGCCACUUAUAAGGUGCAAGGCAGGAGGGCUUAACUACUUAACUAGCGAGGUUUAUUUAUUUACUAUGCAUGUUGUUUCAGAUGAUUUUGCUAGAUGGUAUAUAAUUUUACUAUCUUAAUGUAUCGAAUGCAUCCAUACUUCCAUGAGUUCCAUCAAAAGAACCAUAUUGGGUAGACACGUUCCCAAGUGACAAGCACAACUCAUGGAAGAAACAAAAGAUCCAAGCUAGGAAGGCACGUUUCGAAGGUACAAGCUCAAGUGAUGGAAGUAUUGUUGUUGGGGAUUGCAAAAUACAUGUAUCUGGAUGUGAUGUUGAUGAAAGGUGUUAAAACUGCU